GAUUAAUUUAAAUUAAUUUCCUAAGUACUAAAGCUAUAAAGCUAAAACUUAAUGGUCAUGGCGGCUAGAAGUACUCAGGGGAACUUACCUAUUAAACGAUAACCCACGAGUUAGUUAACUUUACUUUAAAGCUUGUAUACCGCCGAUUAGUAUUGAAUUAAGUUUAAUACAAGUUCUAUAUAGAAUAGCUCAGGUUAUGGUGCAGCAUAUAGUAAUGGAUUGGCGAGUUACAAUAAAUUCUUUUUUCGGAAUAUUAAUUUGAAAUAAUUAAUUAAAGAUGGACUUGAAAGUAAAAAUUAAAACAAAUAUAAUUUGAAUAAAUAGCUACUAGUGC
rnacentral:rRNA from 1 species